CCAAGUUGUUGGGCCUCCGUGGCCCUGUGGGGCCUGCCCAGGCUGUGUGUGGCUGCUCAGAAGGCACGGGAAAGCCAUUUUCUUCAUUAACUAUCUGGGUGGAGAUUGCAGGAAUCAGCAGGAACACUUUUCCAAUUAUCCAGACUCAGGCUGGUGGCCGGACCCCAGGGGAAGCAGGCCACUUGGGGUGCCAUCGACUUGGGCCUGCGCUCUCACCUCCCUGCUGCAGAGGAUCGCUGACUCCGUCAAUUUCCAAGGCCCUGCACAGAAGCACUAUAGAUGCAUAAACUAAAAGGCAAGGUUUCUUCUCUUGUUUUUAUUUUUAAAAGCACCAAUCCAUUGAUUAUGAGGCCACGAACAGGAUUAGAUGCCGUCUGACCACAAGAUGAUGUUUUUAACGUUCACGCUAAGGAAAGCUGUGGGAUGGGCCAGUCCCCAACGAACUGGGACAGAUUCUGGGACCAGCACUAUUUAUAGGCCCGAGCAAGAAGCAAACCAAGUGUGGUUAUUUCUCUACCAAGGCUGUGCCUCCAAAACAAGAGUCUGUGGUCAUCAGGAACUGAAACUGAGUCAGAAGCAAAAGUGACCUGUGUUGCUCUGAUUUUCCUGCCUGUGAGAGAGCAGGUGCCGGGGCACAGAAGCAGGUCACCGGGGUGUUUGCUCUCCAGCGCUCCCCAGAGCCUGAAGCCCCACCGCCCCAGCGUGGUGAUGGUGGGGGGUGGUGGUGGUGGCGGUGGCGGCGGUGGGAACUCCCACAGAAAUUUAUCCUCUCCCAUUCGUUAAAAUCCACAUGAUUCAUCAUUUUGUCUUCCUAGUCAUCCAGACAGAGUCACUCUUCCAAAGGCCACAUUCAUUGGCAGGACUUCUUAACAGGGGCACUCUGACUUUUCAGAAAAAGGCCAAUGUCAACAUCAGAAAAUCAUUUUUCUGGUCUGCGAUCAUAAUAGCCACCGUUUAUCAAAUUUCCCCGUGCGCCAAUCACCAUACUUGGUGCCUUCUGUACAUUCCUGAUUUUAUUCUCACAACCCUAGGAGGCAGAUCUUUACUCCCAUUUUACAGAUGAGGAAAACAAAACUCAGAGAGACCCAAUGAAGAUCUGCCCUGGAGUCUGCUUGCCCCCGGGGAGGCUCCCACAACCACCCUCCCUGCUCUUCCCAGGUCUGCAUCCAAGGACCUCACGUUGGUAGCUGGAAAUUGG